AUACGUAGGUGACAAGCGUUAUCCGGAUUUACUGGGCGUAAAGGGCGUGUAGGCGGUCUUGCAAGUCAGAAGUGAAAUUCCUGAGCUCAACUCGGGCGCUGCUUCUGAAACUGCAGGACUUGAGUGCUGGAGGGGAUAGCGGAAUUCCUAGUGGAGCGGUAAAAUGCGCAGAAAUUAGGAAGAACACCGGUGGCGAAGGCGGAUUCCUGGACAAUAACUGACGUUGAGACGCGAAAGCGUGGGGAGCAAACAGGAUUAGAUACCCUGGUAGUCCACGCCGUAAACGAGGAAUACUAGGUGUAGGGGGUAUCGACUCCCUCUGUGCCGCAGUUAACACAAUAAGUAUUCCGCCUGGGGAGUACGGCCGCAAGGUUGAAACUCAAAUGAAUUGACGGGG
rnacentral:rRNA from 1 species